rnacentral:rRNA from 1 species
AACGAACGCUGGCGGCAUGCCUAACACAUGCAAGUCGAACGGGAUCCUAGCUUGCUAGGUGAGAGUGGCGGACGGGUGAGUAACACGUGGGAAUCUGCCUUUUGGUUCGGGAUAACCGCGGGAAACUGCGGCUAAUACCGAAUGCCCUCGAGAGAGGAAAGAUUUAUCGCCAGAAGAGGAGCCCGCGUCCGAUUAGGUAGUUGGUGGGGUAAAGCCUACCAAGCCGACGAUCGGUAGCUGGUCUGAGAGGAUGAUCAGCCACACUGGGACUGAGAUACGGCCCAGACUCCUACGGGAGGCAGCAGUGGGGAAUAUUGGACAAUGGGGGCAACCCUGAUCCAGCAAUGCCGCGUGAGUGAUGAAGGCCUUAGGGUUGUAAAGCUCUUUGCCAGGAGAUGAUGACUGUACCU